rnacentral:rRNA from 1 species
AUUGAACGCUGGCGGCAGGCCUAACACAUGCCAGUCGAGCGGAUGAAGGGAGCUUGCUCCUGGAUUCAGCGGCGGACGGGUGAGUAAUGCCUAGGAAUCUGCCUGGUAGUGGGGGAUAACGUCCGGAAACGGGCGCUAAUACCGCAUACGUCCUGAGGGAGAAAGUGGGGGAUCUUCGGACCUCACGCUAUCAGAUGAGCCUAGGUCGGAUUAGCUAGUUGGUGGGGUAAAGGCCUACCAAGGCGACGAUCCGUAACUGGUCUGAGAGGAUGAUCAGUCACACGGGAACUGAGACACGGUCCAGAAUCCGACGGGAGGCAGCAGUGGGGAAUAUUGGACAAUGGGCGAAAGCCUGAUCCAGCCAUGCCGCGUGUGUGAAGAAGGUCUUCGGAUUGUAAAGCACUUUAAGUUGGGAGGAAGGGAAGUAAGUUAAUACCUUGCUGUUUUGACGUUACCAAAAGAAUAAGCACCGGCUAACUUCGU